rnacentral:rRNA from 1 species
AAGGGUGACUGCGUGAGGAUAUUA